GUCUGGCUGGCUUAGUUGUUAAAGCAUAUGAUUCUUGAUCUCAGGAUUGUGAGUUCGAGCCCCAUGUUGGGUG
rnacentral:tRNA from 1 species